rnacentral:misc_RNA from 1 species
AAUCUGCAGGCAACAGGACCCCUCCAGCGACAGACUGGUCUCGGCGAAAAGGCCAGACUUCUCCUCCACGGGGACUGUCCGGCUAUAUCUUAUCAUAAAUAAAAACCAGUGUACGGUUUAACAUAAUUAUAGUAUCCAAGACUGAUAUCAAAACCGAGCCUCCCAAUGACCAAUGAGGAGAAUGAGGAGCCUUCCAACGACCAAUGAACCAGUGAGGAGAGGUACUGACGUGCAUAUUCCCCGCAUAUUGUGACCCGCAAUGCACCUAUUCCUUUCAACUUUUUUAACGGCAUAGCUAUUCUGCCAAGUCCCCCAGAAUACAUAUAAUCUCAUCAUACAUUGCUACUGUUUUAAAUUUAACAUAUAAC